GAGGGGCCUGGACCCCGGGACCCCUUUCCUCCCUCCUUCCAUCCCUCCUGUUCCCCGUGCCCAUGUGACUGUUUGCUGUGGCACCUUCUCAUGUAGACUUGAGCCCCUUUGACACUGGAAACCCAAGCCUGUUGAAAGGUGAAGCAGCUCUUCCUCCACCAACCCCUCCCUCGAUGUAAAGCUAAUUCAGCGUCUUCUAGUGCCCCUCCUGUCCUCGCAUCCCCACCUCCUCAGGCAGCCCAGGUUUGUUUUCUGACAGUGUCUCUCCAAAUGCCCUCAGAGGACAUGUUUCCAGGAUGACGUAGAGCGAGAACACAGGGGUAGACAAACCUGAAUUCUUCCUUGUUAGGUACUGAAGGGAAGUCACUCUGAAAGUCGGUUAUAUUGAGCAGUGAUUCUCAGGUCAGCUAACCAGCAGGAGCAGCUUCGCCUUGGACUGUAGUUGAAAUGCGAAUUCUCUGACCACAGGUUUCAUAAAAUAUCCUGUCCCGUCAAGUUUCUUUUUUUUAAUCGUUGGCCAGAUCUGGAUGGUUUAACUGUCUGUGUGAGAUGUUUGGCCUCAAGAUUAUGUUCGCCAUUGGUGGCUGCUUACUGAUGGCUACGUUUGUGCUGAUCUGUGUUGUCAUCUGUCUUUACUGCAAAUUGACCAACACACUGAAGUGAGUUAACGUGAGGCGUGAGGGGGAAUAACACCCCCUCAAGUGGGAUGCCUGGGCCCUCGGCUCCAGCAGGGUCAUUCCCUGCCCUGAAGCCACACCCCGGGUGAGUCAGGACCAGCAGGCGGUUUGAAAAGGCAAAGGCGGGGGCUGUGGAAUCCUGGCAGGGCCCCUCUGGCUUGGGGCUGUGAGCUCCUAAGCGGAAUGUCCUCAGCUCUGGGUGUCAGAGCUGCUUUGCUGUCCGCGGGCCUCACCGAGUUCCCCUCAGCGGGUGGCUUCACACGCUGGCGGGGCCUUCCCUCCGCCCAGGCGCGGCCCCCUGGGGGCUGUGGGGGGGCAGGUGAGUGAGUCUGCCUCUGGCACGCCAGGGGACGGCUGCCUGGGGCUCCUGCCCGAGCCGGGGAGCUCUCGGGGUGUCCCCUCAUUCAUUGCCCAUGGCCUUGGGGACUGUGGGGUGCGCCUAGAAGACUGUGGGGAAGCUGAGCUUAUUCCCGGGGACACAUGACAAGACAGUGUACAUCAGACAAGAGAUAAUUAAAUGUGGGGGAAGGCAACCUUCAAAUAUGGGAGAGAUGGGUUAUCAGAAGCAGCGGUGUUCCCAUGGCAGGGAAGUCAAGCCUGUGAGCUAGAAGGCUGAUGGCCAGAGCCUGGGGACGGCUGGCGGCGGUGCCCUCCGGUCAUUCUCACACUGGGCAGACCUGCUGGAUGACCCAUACUUGCAAUUCCCUCUCUGUUAUUUGCUGUAACCUGAUUUUAUAUUUCUAGCAAUCUUAGGAGGGGAAGGGAUCAAAUAGGAAAUUAGGACAGGGACAGACAGCUUUAGCGGUGGGCUGGUGUCACCUGUGCGAUGGUUGUAGCUCUAAACUUCCCAGCCAGCCCUGGCAAUUGUACCAAAUGGACUGACAGGAAAACUCUUAACUCCAUGCAUUGUGUAUGUCU